GCAGUGGUGGUUCAGUGGUAGAAUUCUCACCUGCCACGCGGGAGGCUCAGGUUUGUUUCCCGGCCAAUGCA
rfam:Salmo salar isolate Sally breed double haploid chromosome ssa09, whole genome shotgun sequence.